rnacentral:rRNA from 1 species
UACGAAGGGGGGCGAGCGUUGUUCGGAUUUACUGGGCGUAAAGGGCGCGCAGGCGGUUCUGUUUUGUCGAGUGUGAAAGCCCCGGGCUCAACCUGGGAACUGCGCUCGAAACGGCGGAACUAGAGUUCGGGAGAGGAGAGUGGAAUUCCCAGUGUAGAGGUGAAAUUCGUAGAUAUUGGGAAGAACACCGGUGGCGAAGGCGGCUCUCUGGACCGAUACUGACGCUGAGGCGCGAAAAGCGUGGGGGAGCAAACAGG